rnacentral:rRNA from 1 species
UGUUUGUUGUAAGGGCGCACGGUGGAUGCCUGGGCAUGUCAAGCCGAUGAAGGACGUGAAGGGCUGCGUUAAGCCUCGGGGAGUUGCCGAUUAAGCGUUGAUCCGAGGAUGUCCGAAUGGGGAAACCCGGCCGUGGUUGUGUGCGGUCACCUGCUGCUGAAUGAAAUAGGUGGUAUGGGGGUUACGCGGGGAAGUGAAACAUCUCAGUACCCGUAGGAGAAGAAAACAAUAUGUGAUUCCGUUAGUAGUGGCGAGCGAAGGCGGAGGUGAUGGCUAAACUCUAUGCGUGGAUGAUACUUGGUAGGGGUUGCGUGUAGGGGGUUGUGGGAUGCGUGUGUCUGGCUGGCUACCACUGGCUGGCACCCUGGGAUUGUGUGUUAGGGGAAGUGGUGUGGAAUCGCCUGCCGUAGACGGUGAGAGUCCGGUACCUGAAGACAUGUGGUUGGGGUGUGUGCGUAUUUUUCCCGAGUAGCAGCGGGCUCGUGGAAUCUGCUGUGAAUCUGCCGGGACCACCCGGUAAGCCUGAAUACUUGGCGUGACCGAUAGUGUAGUUAGUACCGUGAGGGAAGGGUGAAAAGUACCCCGGGAGGGGAGUGAAAUAGUUCCUGAAACCGUGUGCUUACAAUCCGUCAUAGCCCCCUUGGUGGGGUGGUGGCGUGCCUUUUGAAGAAUGAGCCUGCGAGUCAGCGGCAUGUCGCGAGGUUAACCCGUGUGUGUGGGGUAGUCGUAGCGAAAGCGAAUCCUAAUGAGGGUGAAGUGUAGUGGCAUGUUCUGGACCCGAAGCGGGGUGAUCUACCCAUGGCCAGUGUGAAGCGGUGGUAAAACAUUGUGGAGGCGCGAACCCACUUAGGUUGAAAACUGAGGGGAUGAGCUGUGGGUAGGGGGGAAAGGCCAAUCAAACUCCGUGAUAGCUGGUUCUCCCCGAAAUGCAUUUAGGUGCAGCGUUGCGUGGUUGUUGUUGGUGGUAGAGCGACUGGUUGGUUGAUGCGGGACGAUCAUCUUAGCGAUGCCAGCUAAACUCCGAAUGCCAAUAAUAUGCGAGCGUGGCAGUGAGACGGCGGGGGAUAAGCUCCGUGACGUCGAGAGGGAAACAGCCCAGAUCGUCGGUUAAGGCCCCUAAGGGUGUGCUGAGUGGAAAAGGAGGUGUCAUCGCGAAGACAGCCAGGAGGUUGGCUUAGAAGCAGCCAUCCUUGAAAGAGUGCGUAAUAGCUCACUGGUUAAGUGGUGAUGCGCCGAUAAUGUAGUGGGGCUUAUAAAGUACACCGCCGAAACCGCGGCAACACACAUUUUUGGUGUGUGUUGGGUAGGGGAGCGUCGUGCAUGUGUGGAAGCUGUCAUGGAAGUGGUGGUGGAGUGUGUGCGAGUGAGAAUGCAGGCAUGAGUAGCGAAAAACAUGUGGAAAACGUGUUCGCCGGAUGACUAAGGGUUCCUGGGUGAAGCUAAUCUUCCCAGGGUGAGUCGGGACCUAAGGCGAGGCCGACAGGCGUAGUCGAUGGAUAACGGGUUGAUAGUCCCGUACCCGUGUAUGCGCGACCAGUGGUGACUCGGUUGUACUAACCACCCACUGCCACGGGAUCAAUGCUUUUGGUGUUGGUUUGGUGUGUGGUGCGUGGGAUCUUGAUCGUUGGUAGCCAAGCGAUGGGGUGACACAGAUUGGUAGUCAAGGCCACUGAGUGGAUUGUGGUGUAAGCGUGUGGCCCGUAGGAUAGGUAAAUCCGUUCUGCAUUUAUGGGUGAGGCGUGAUGCGUACCCAGGUUUGGGGAUGUUUGAUGUGCCUGUGCUGUCGAGAAAAGCCUCUAGCGAUGUGUGUGCACGGCCCGUACCGGAAACCGACACAGGUGGUCUGGUUGAGGAUACUAAGGCGUUCGGGUGAACUAUGGUUAAGGAACUCGGCAAAAUGCCCCCGUAACUUCGGGAGAAGGGGGGCCAUGUGCGGCAAUCACCCUUUGUGCGGUGUGCGUUGUGUGUGGCCGCAGAGAAGUGAGGGAAGCGACUGUUUAUUAAAAACACAGGUCCGUGCGAAGACGUUGCAAGUCGAGGUAUACGGACUGACGCCUGCCCGGUGCUGGAAGGUUAAGAGGACUCGUGAGCAUGCCACGUGGUGUGUGAGGCUGAGAAUUUAAGCCCCAGUAAACGGCGGUGGUAACUAUAACCAUCCUAAGGUAGCGAAAUUCCUUGUCGGGUAAGUUCCGACCUGCACGAAUGGAGU